rnacentral:rRNA from 1 species
UACGAGGGGGGCUAGCGUUGUUCGGAUUUACUGGGCGUAAAGCGCACGUAGGCGGAUCGUUAAGUCGAGGGUGAAAUCCUGGAGCUCAACUCCAGAACUGCCUUCGAUACUGGCGAUCUAGAGUCCGGAAGAGGUGAGUGGAACUCCUAGUGUAGAGGUGGAAUUCGUAGAUAUUAGGAAGAACACCAGUGGCGAAGGCGGCUCACUGGUCCGGUACUGACGCUGAUGUGCGAAAGCGUGGGGAGCGAACAGG